rnacentral:lncRNA from 1 species
GCGCUUCGUGCGAGGCCCGGGCAGCAUCGGCGGCGUGGUCAGAGCGAGUCUCGGAGAAGAUGUGGUGGCUUCCGUUUGUUGGUGGAGGAGGUGGCAGGCCUCGGCGGGUAACCCAGAGAACACAGCCGAAGUGGAAUGUGGGGACGUCUGCGACACCGGGGACAGAGCAACUGUGGAUGAAGAGGGCUACAUCUGGUUCCUGGGGAGGAGUCAUGACACUAUCAAUGCCUCUGGGUGGUGAAGGCAUUGAUUGUCCUGACCCCACAGUUUCUGUCCCAUGACAAGGACCAGCUGACUAAGGAGCUGCAGCAGCAUGUAAAGUCAGUGACAGCCCCAUGGCAUUGUAUAAACAUCAGGUGUCUAUGGAACAAAUGCAAAGAGAGUACACAAAAGAAGCAAAAGGGACUGUCUUUGCACGAUGCAGAAAAUUAGACCUGCAUGGCACGUUUAGCCCUAAAUUUAGGAAUCUACCCCACUAGACAGGAAAUAUCUUUUCAAUUAACAAAUGGCCUCUCCACUCCUUCUUUCCUUGGAAAGUUUACUGAACAAUGAUUGGGCACCGUAAACU